ACGAGCGAGCGAAGCCUUUGCCCUCGAGCGACGCCACACCAGAGUCUUCGCCCUCGCAGCCGCUGCCGAUCCCCUCCCUCAAACGCCGCCGCCCGUCGUUGCCGCCCCCGCCACCUCCCGUCGCGGGCAGGCGGGAGGAGCCCUGCCCGGCCAUGGCGACACCGACGGCGGCCUCCUCCUCCCCCUCACCUUCUCUCCCUCUCCCAAGGGAGGGAAGGGAAUAGAAGGGAUCUGAUUGGAGCGGUGGAUCUGCGCCCUUGCCGUCUCUUCUUUUCUUCACCGAUUCCAGGAGGAGAUCGAAGUGGGAGGUAGACGAGCAGGAGCGCCGCGUCCGCGACAGCGAUGAGCGAUGACCCAGGUUCUCCUCUCCCAUGGCAGGGGUCGGCGAGUGGCAACAGAUGCGGGACACCAACUGGUGGCGCAACGGACAGCGAGAGGCGGGACACCAACUGGGCGCGCCUCUCGCGGCCGACUUCCACGGCGGCGACGUCGUUUACCUUGGCGCCUGCUUCUUUUCCGACUCAGCGAUCCCCGCGGGCACCGAUGGACGGCGACGGGCAGCACGUGCGGCCGCGGAGCCGCGCGCUCCUGACCGACGACGAGGAUGACGGGACGUACGCCGGCGACGUGUACAGCGGCAGCCUCGCCGCCACGGGCGGGUCUCGUGCUGGCUGGAUCUUGGGGCGGUAGCAGUACUUGGUGCAGCGCCGCCGCGGCGAUUACGGCAGCGUCGGGGUCGUCGUCGUCCUCAUCCGCACAGGGAAGCUGGACUGGGAGGUUUGCUGCUUCCGGUCGGCAGACGAUGGCUAUGACGCUAUGCCCAGCACGAGUGCUAACGCCAUCACGGCCGGCACCACUGGCACAACAGCCGUUCGGUGUGCUCUCCGGGAUGCUGCAGUCGAAGGGUCGAGCAGGAGCUAUGGAUGCCAGCAAACAAGCCUGUGCAGACGGCAAUGCAUCAAUCAAAUCGGAUGGAGAACAUCACACAACAGCCUUUCUCCAGGACAUAAAGAAAAUGGUGGCACUUUGGGUUUUGAAGACGCCGCCUCGCGUAGGACUACGAACAUGGGACGCUCGGUCGAGUUUUUCUUAACUCGUCAGGAUUCUCAUGCUGCAAAUUUAGUAACGGGGAAAAUUUUUGGGUGUCCUGAUGUGUUUGCGGAUUGAUGAAAAUUUGGCGAGGGAGAUCAUAAACCAUCGCUCGCUGCAGCACAUCAAUUGUUGAAUUCGUUUGAAGGAGCUGUCAAUUGUUGAAUUCGCUUGAAGGAGAUGGAGCUUGUUUGGCUGAAUUUGCUACUGAGUUGCCACAUUUUGAGGGCCUGCAAUUGAAGAAUACAACACUUGAGAUAACAAUUGAAGAAUACUAGAGUAAUAAUAACUACUGCAAGAGUGAUGUAUUUUCUUUUUGUUGGAGAUUUUCUGCAUCUUUUAUGGACGGUAACAUUUGAGAUAACAAUUUGAUGUGCUAACCAUCAAGAUCAACUUCGACAUGUUUGGUCUCUAAAAGUUACUAUUGACCAUCAUUGGUGCAUCCUAUAAGAAGGGGAAAAUAAAGCAUUAAUGUGGAGUAUGUUCCAAUGGAAAUCUUCAGGAACACCUUGAAGGUCUGAGUGCAAUUUUUCUUUAGUUCUCUGUGAGCUUAAAAAUGCAACUGGUGUGGCCCAUGCAACUGAGAUUAAAAACAUGGAGAAGAAUCAUAAAAGAUCUCGCUGAAAAUGUCCUCGUUCCGCACUUCGUGUGGACAGGUAGCGCCCUUUACCUUCGAAGUCUCGAAAAAUUGUCUGGGUGAUGCGGGUGCCUCAAUGCUUGAUGCCAUGUUCUGUAAGAGGCCAAGCCAUUUGUGGAUAGUUUAUCUAAAUGCCCAAAACCCACUUAGAGCUCCAGAGAGGUCUUGUUUUCUUGUACUAUGGAUUUAAGGUGAUUCUCAAGAGGAACAAGUCGCCAUGGACCGAUGAGAUCGAGAGACGGCUCCGCGAUUGCGUGGAGUGGCGGCUGAGAGGAGAGGCAACAACAACUCGUUGUUCGUGACGGCCCGAGCGUUUGCGAGAGGGGAUGGAGCGGGGGUUGCAUUGUCACGGCCAGUUGCCAUAGUGGAUGGAGUGGUGGCCGCACGGACGCGCUCCUGGAGGUGCCGGUAUGCACCCUGAUUUUGAGCCUGGGAGGUUCCUUGCUCUGCCCUAUCCUCAAGGGUGUUCAUCUACUUUGGUAUCGUGCUCUGGAGUCAGGACGAUGCACUAAUGCAGGUUUGGUUCUUUACUUUUUCAUUUAUUUUGUUUGUAUGCAUAUCCCUGAAUUUUGUGAGCCGUGAUUUAAAUGUUGUCGUGUGUGCCAUUGUGUCCUAUAUAAUUAUUCUAUAGAAGCACCACUGCAACCCAGUUUGUUUAUCAAAUUGAUGCAAGAAACAAACUAAUACAUAGAGAGUAUAAAUUUAUUGCAUUAAUCUGUAUAUCCCUGCACCUAGAGAUAGGUAGAAAUGGAUAAAUUUUGUAGCUUUUUGUUCCCAGUUUUUCCUAUUGAAAUUAUGGAUUUGGAAGCUAAUCAUGGAGUGUUUCGAUUGCCUGCUUACGGAUUCGCAAUGAGCACAAGUCUGCAACCUUGAAGGAAAACCCGUUGCAACUGAUGACAUAAUAUUACGUCGCAACAAGAAUGUAUAGAGCUGCAAAGCUCUGUGGAUCCUUCUCUUCACAAAAGGAAACAAGAGGUAAUGUAAACAAUAGAUUCUCUUGUGAAAUUGCGAUUCAGCCUUGGGGCGUGGAUGGCAAGAAGCGGAGGCGUGUGCCUAGAGUAGCGGACCAUGAUGGAUUGAUGAGCUGAUGUCACGUGACGUACUCACGUGGCGGCUGGUUAGGCUCUGGCGGCUGGAGCCAUCAUCGACCAUGAUGCCACGCCAGGAGCACAAGGGCUAAGACGAGGACAUGUUGGUGCCGAUGAAAUAAGGUGUUGCCGGUUGAUGGGGGCCUAACCAUGAGUCUAACUGAAAGUGAAUGGGAGCGAUGUGCAGAAAAAAAUCUUAGCACAUAGGCUGAAUUUGUAUAGUACUUUGAAUUUAUUAGGCAGUACCCCCUCCAUUUGUAUAUCACUUCCGAAUACAAGUUCAGGUUAUUAGGCAGUACUAUUGAAUUUAAGGAUUGAUACUUGAAGAUUUUAAAAGGUUACUAAAUUUAAUUUAAUUUUUUGACAGCAGGUUACUAAAUUUUGUACCAAGACUACUGUUAUGUAUGGGAAGAACAUGCGCUAAAAUAUUGAUAAUGCAAAUGAAAGUGAUCGUUUGA